CCUUCCCUCCAUAACUGCUACUCGACGGCCUUAGUUACCCCUCGAGAGCAGAAGAGAGCACGUCUGUGGCCUCUCCCACACGGCCACCCUGGCUGGAGAUGCUUCUCCUGGCUGAAUUCCGCGCUUCCCAAUCCUGGUUCUAUAUUAUAUGGUUCUUUGUGCAACAUGGUUUCCAGAACUUUGCUCCAUUCUCCUGAUGCUCUUUAUCUGGAUCCUGCUAGCUUCCAAUGCUCUUCUUAGAAUGUAGCACAGACACCUGAACACACUCCAGGUGUAGCUUAGCGGGUGCAAAGAACUAGGGGGAUAGUGCUUCAAAGACGUGGCUAUGAUAUUCCUUUAUCGCCUUAGCUGACUGGCAGGCAAAAAUGUGCCUCUCCUCCUCACCUGAGUUCCAGGUGGUUGGGAUUUUAUCCAUGUGCGUAUUUUUGGCAGAGAUUAAAGAGUGGGUCAGAUAAAGAGUGGAGAUCAUUCUUGUCUUCUCUCUCAGAUUACACAGCCCAGUUCUAACAUCAGUUCCCAGACGUGGCCCUCUGGGAAAUUCAGCCUCUCUUUUCCAGAUCCAGCAUCUCUCUGUUCUUCUAGAGACAGUGCUUUCAGAGGGCACUGGAAUCCCAGGAGAAUCAUCUGUGUGAUCAAACUCUCCAAGUGAAACCUCUGCUAAGAAUGCGCGCACCAUAUGUGCUAGCAGCUGUUUUCAAUAAUUUAAUCAGGUUUCUGACAUAGGAUUCAUCAAACUUAACCAGAGGGGCUAUGCCACCACAGAAGAGCAGGAGGCUGAGAACUCUGGGAUGGAGGAUCAACCUGAGCAUCACUAAAAGUGGCACAAGCAGACGUUACGUGUGUCAUGACGUUACAGUAGGACGUGCCUGGAACCACCCAUGAACAAUUCUUGUCUGCAUCACUCUCUGGAUCUAACCAGCAGUUUAUGGGAAACCUGGGGACGAGAGGUACAAGAAACCAUAAGGAAGCAUUCGGCCAAAUCUAGAAUGUGGGACAUUCUACAGGACACAUUUUCAGCUUCUUCAAUAAAUUGCUGGCAUGAAAGAGACAAAAAGAAAGGAUCAUGGUUAUGGAAUGAAGAGACAAUCACACCCCAGGGCCAUGUGUGAACUCUAAUUCAAGGAGACUGUCAAAGACAUCUUUCCCAGUUGUGGAAAUGUGAAUAUGACUGAGUCCUAGAUGAUAUUGAGGAAUUAUUAAUUUUAUUAGAUUUUAUAAUGGUGUGCUGUUUAUGUUUUUUAAAAAACUGUCCUAUGUAUUAUAUUGGAAUAUUUCAAGUGAAAUGACAUGAUCUCUGGGGUAAAUGGGAAGAAAGAACUUUCAUUCACUUAAAAUGAAAGAAGAUUAGCAAAACAUUGAUAAUUGUUGGUUAAUGAGUUCUGAG